rnacentral:rRNA from 1 species
CGUCUAUAUACGUAUAGCAUAUCAAUAAGCGGAGGAAAAGAAACUAACUAGGAUUCCCUUAGUAACGGCGAGUGAAGCGGGAAGAGCUCAAAUUUGAAAUCUUCAAGGUUUUACCUUGACGAAUUGUAGUUUAAAGAAGUGUUUUCUGUUGGAGUUUUGGUAAAAGUUCUUUGGAGUAGGACAUCAUAGAGGGUGAGAAUCCCGUAUUUGACCAUUAUUUCCAACUUUGUGAUACACUUUCAAAGAGUCGGAUUGUUUGGGAAUGCAGUCCAAAAUGGGUGGUAAAUUUCAUCUAAAGCUAAAUACUGGCGAGAGACCGAUAGCGAACAAGUACCGUGAGGGAAAGAUGAAAAGAACUUUGAAAAGAGAGUUAAACAGUACGUGAAAUUGUCAAAAGGGAAGCGUUUGACACCAGUGUUGUUUUCUCGAAAAUCAAUUAAAAAUGGUGGAUUUUGUGUUGUAUUGACUUUAUCAGCUUUCUGCACUCUUUUCUUAUCUUUUUUAAUGCACUUUUCGUUUAACAAGUCAACAUCAAUUUCUUUUGUUGUAAAAGGGUCAUUGGAAGGUGGCUUUCUUUUCGGAGAAAGUGUUUAUAGCCUUUGGCCUUCUGCAAUCGGAGAGAUUGAGGUCUGCAGCGUAGAUCCUUCGGGGUUAGAUGCAUUUGUGCUAAGUUAUAGCCUUUCAUAGACAACUUGUUGACUAUGAUCAGUCAUGUAGCUUACUCGCUUAUGUUAUUUUACCUACGCUUAGGAUGUUGACGAUCAGCUGAGCGCG